rnacentral:misc_RNA from 1 species
UAAAGGCUUAGUUGAGUUGAGAAGAGGCAAAAUCAUGCAAGCGUUAAAUGUACCAUUAGAGCUUCAAAAAGCAUUAUCGAGGGGAAAAAAGCUGCACCGUGUCCAAAAGAGAAGGAACGAGCAUCCAGCUCCUUUCAUCAUUAUUUCCUGUUGUGGAGUAGGUAUUUAAGAUAGGUCUCUCUUUCACAUUUAUAAAAGCCUAGAGUGUCAGUUCGCUUCAUGUGAGUAAUGGAAACCCAACUGUCCUCUCUUUUCCUUUCUUCAUGUAUAAUUCCAGUAACAUCCAUUCCAAAUAAAAUAGAAUAUAGACAUUUCUUGCAUUAUCUUCAAGGACACUAUUUUUUUUUCCUUUGUGCUACCAUAGAACCAAACAGUUUUAACAAACAUCAGGAUUCCUUCAACUGCUCUCUUUUAAAAUUUAGAUAAUGAUUGGAUAACAUGCAAUAUUAUAUUCCCAAUACACAAAAUA